rnacentral:rRNA from 1 species
CCUACGGGCGGCAGCAGUGAGGAAUAUUGGUCAAUGGGCGCGAGCCUGAACCAGCCAAGUAGCGUGAAGGAUGACUGCCCUACGGGUUGUAAACUUCUUUUAUAAAGGAAUAAAGUGAGGCACGUGUGCCUUUUUGUAUGUACUUUAUGAAUAAGGAUCGGCUAACUCCGUGCCAGCAGCCGCGGUAAUACGGAGGAUCCGAGCGUUAUCCGGAUUUAUUGGGUUUAAAGGGAGCGUAGGUGGGUGGUUAAGUCAGGUGUGAAAGUUUGCGGCGCAACCGUAAAAUUGCAAUUGAUACUGGCAGUCUAGAGUAAAGUUGAGGUAGGCGGAAUUCGUGGUGUAGCGGUGAAAUGCUUAGAUAUCACGAAGAACUCCGAUUGCGAAGGCAGCUUACUAAGCUGCCACUGACAUUGAUGCUCGAAAGUGUGGGUAUCAAACAGGAUUAGAUACCCGGGUAGUC